rnacentral:rRNA from 1 species
AUACGGAGGGUCCGAGUGUUAUCCGGAAUCAUUGGGUUUAAAGGGUCCGUAGGCGGGAAUCUAAGUCAGUGGUGAAAUCUUGCAGCUCAACUGUAAAAUUGCCAUUGAUACUGGAUUUCUUGAAUUAGUGUGAAGUGAUUAGAAUGUGUAGUGUAGCGGUGAGAUGCAUAGAUAUUACACAGAAUACCAAUUGCGAAGGCAGAUCACUAACACUAUAUUGACGCUGAGGGACGAAAGCGUGGGGAGCGAACAGGAUUAGAUACCCCAGUAGUCC